AUUGAACGCUGGCGGCAGGCCUAACACAUGCAAGUCGAGCGGAUGAAGGGAGCUUGCUCCUGGAUUCAGCGGCGGACGGGUGAGUAAUGCCUAGGAAUCUGCCUGGUAGUGGGUGAUAACGUCCGGAAACGGGCGCUAAUACCGCAUACGUCCUGAGGGAGGAAGUGGGUGAUCUUCGGACCUCACGCUAUCAGAUGAGCCUAGGUCGGAUUAGCUAGUUGGUGGGGUAAAGGCCUACCAAGGCGACGAUCCGUAACUGGUCUGAGAGGAUGAUCAGUCACACUGGAACUGAGACACGGUCCAGACUCCUACGGGAGGCAGCAGUGGGGAAUAUUGGACAAUGGGCGAAAGCCUGAUCCAGCCAUGCCGCGUGUGUGAAGAAGGUCUUCGGAUUGUAAAGCACUUUAAGUUGGGAGGAAGGGCAGUAAGUUAAUACCUUGCUGUUUUGACGUUACCAACAGAAUAAGCACCGGCUAACUUCGUG
rnacentral:rRNA from 1 species